GCUUUGCACUCUCUAUAAGUAUUAAGGACUGGGGGGUUUAGUACUCCAGCCAUAGUAUGUAUAGACAGUCAGACGUACAAGUAAAGUUGGACUUGGAAUUGGGUCAAUCUGUGAAGGGGACAGUAUCGCUCUUAUAGGGCCCUCUAUAGAUUGGCCUCAAUUUUGGGUCCAAUCCGUAGGAGGUGAAUCAUGGGUGGUUUCCACCGGACAACAGAUUGGCCAUAUUCCUACUUGCACUCUACAUAGUAUGCAGACCGAGUCUAGAGUAUGCCUGGGUUCCAAGUUGAACUUAGAGCAUACUUUGGGCUCGGUUUGCUGUAUGUGCGACUUUGGCUCAGUCAGGUCAAAAGGACACUUUGUGGUAUACUUUC
rnacentral:misc_RNA from 1 species